AAAACCGACUUACUUGGUUUGGUUUCUUUUUAGGAAAAAACCGAUCCAAAUCGAACCAUGAACACCCCUAUAUUUUUCCUUGUUCUUCUAACUCAGUAUUUGAGCAACUUUCAAACUUGAAAACCUUUUUUAAAAGCAAAAUCCAACUUUAAUCAUCUUCUAGAAACUUUAGCUUAUUAAUAUUUGCAUUGCAAUAAGUUGACAUAUCUUUUAUUGCCGAGUGGUUAACAUGAAUUUGUGGCCUUGGUUGUGAUCCACACGAAUCGAUUUCUUUGAAGUCUUAGAGUUCAAAGAGAAUGUAUUAAUGGGAUUCAUUGAGUCUCAUAGUUAUGUGGAUUGAAGGACAAACUUGAAAAAACUCAAGGGCUUCGAAUCGCAACUUUUUGGGCUAAAGCAGCUUGUUCUUAUAUCUUUUGGAAGCUUCAAGCAAUACCAGAAUGCUUGGCUGUUGUAUUCAACCUUCAAAGAUAUGAAACUGGAAAAUACUAUAAGAGCAUUCAGGUCAGCAAAAGAAAAUAGAGGAGAAGAAGCUGGAACGCGCGCCAGCUCAAGCACUGAUUUAAAGCUCUCGAUGGUGCUCUUGAUUUUUUAUCAAUGCAGUAAUACACAGCCUUAUUGGUGACCGGUGACUGAGGCAUUUUGCUAGAAGUGGAGGAAUCCUCGUUUUAUUUUGACUUUAUUGACAAGAAGGGUCACCAAGAUAGCUGUUUUGGCACAUGAUAGACUUGAGCAGAUUGUCAAAACAUACAGGAAGGCGGGUUUGUCAAUGCUUGAAGUGAUUGAUCUAGGUGAGCCUGAUGAAAAUCAAAUUCCAGGGGAAACAAGAGUGAUAAUCAGUUAAUAAAAAGAAAGAAUAAUAGCUUUACACCGACCAUGAAGAGGAAGCGAACUAGGAUUAGUUCAAGUACCUAUGGUAUCACCACAAGCGGAAGGAGGUCUGCAUAAGAUAUUCCAAAUCUCAAGUGACCAUAGCUCAGAAAAGUUAUUGGUCUGAUGAGCUUUUUUUGUUGCUUUGGCAUCAGCUGCUUUCUCAAGAUAUGUUUGUGGUUGGUGUAGAAUCGCAGAAUAGACUUGCUUUCCUUUACAAGCUCGAUUUACACUCUGCAGUUUGCUCAUCUUUUAUGGAGAAUUAGCUCUGUGCUACAAUUUUCGUGUGUAGGAGUAUGAGAGUUUUAUCCUUGUGAUGGAUAAAUGAUAGUAAUUGAAAUUGCAGUAUUCAAUCCAUGUACUGUUUAUAACUCAAUUCUGAAUAUAUAUUUUAAGUAGAGAGGAGGUCGAAAAUGAAGGAUGAAUAGUUUUCCGCUGGGCACAGUAAUCUCAUAUUGGAUCCGAAUAAUUAUUUUGAAUUGAAAGCAAUUCUAGCUUUUCUUUUCUGCUUC